AGUGAACGCUGGCGGCGUGCCUAACACAUGCAAGUCGAACGAUGAUGGAGGAGCUUGCUCUUCCUGAUUAGUGGCGCACGGGUGAGUAAUGCAUAGAUAAUGUGCCCCUUAGUUCGGGAUAGCCACUGGAAACGGUGAUUAAUACCGGAUACUCCUUCUUGUCACAAGGCAAGUCGGGAAAGUUUUUCGCUAAGGGAUCAGUCUAUGUUCCAUCAGUUAGUUGGUGAGGUAACGGCUCACCAAGACUAUGACGGAUAUCUGGUUUGAGAGGAUGAUCAGACACACUGGAACUGAGACACGGUCCAGACUCCUACGGGUGGCUG
rnacentral:rRNA from 1 species